CUUUAUCGUCGCAUUUGAAGAAAUUUCAUAAACUGAUUUCAAUAGUAAAUAAAAUUGCAGAAAAACGCUUUAAUGUUUUUAACUACAUUUGUAAUCACCGAAUAAUUUUCUGAAACUUGUAGUACUGUUUUGCAUCAUUUGAAAAAAAAUCUUAAUUUUGGUUUUUGUUAACAUUCUCAGCUAUACCAUAUGUUACACGUGCUCCUUGACCAAUGCAUGUUUAAACGCGGCUGUCUAAGCUUCCUUAUAAAUUAUUAAAACUCUUCAAAGCUUGAACCGAAAUCGGAAACCAAUUUUAACUUUACGGAAGUUAAUUUUUUUUUAAUUAAAACACUUUAUCGUCGCAUUUGAAGAGAUUUCAUGACCAGGCUAAAGACUGAAAAUGCAAAGUUCUUUUUUGCUGGUGCGGCAAUUUCUACGUUUCUGUUUCUGAUUUGCAGUCGCUGGAUAAUUGCGCAUGAAAAUCCAGUAAUUAUAAACAGCUCGUAUUCAUCAACGCCUAUUUCGAAGCCAGUAACCGAAAAUGAAAUCCAAGUUGAGUGCAAAGUACUCAGAGAUGAUGAGGAAGGAUUACAAAGAGCCAUUGAGUCUUGCAAUCAGGUAGUUUCGAACCUCAAACGCCAACAAUAUGUGUGCAUCAAUGGGCCCAAUAGUCACAUUUGCAAAAUGGUGAACAACUACGUGGAAAACGGGAAACAAAAUGACGGAUCAUUGUGUCAAUUAAUGAACAAUUUGGGGUCAGACAAGUGUGCGCUGUACAAUUACCCAGACUAUUAUGACUUAUUUCUAAAACCAAUCAAAAACCGUCAUCUGAAAAUUUUGGAAAUUGGACUGGGAUCUCAAACAGGGCCCUACAAAUCGCAAAUGAACAAAACAUAUCUAAAGGGCAGUUUUCCAGUUUA